GGACGAACGCUGGCGGCAUGCCUAAUACAUKCAAGUCGAGCGGASUUGAWRRGAAGCUUGCUUYYYUGAURSUUAGCGGCGGACGGGUGAGUAACACGUAGGCAACCUGCCCUCAAGUUUGGGACAACUACCGGAAACGGUAGCUAAUACCGAAUARUUGUUUUCUUCGCCUGAAGGAAACUGGAAAGACGGAGCAAUCUGUCACUUGGGGAUGGGCCUGCGGCGCAUUAGCUAGUUGGUGGGGUAACGGCUCACCAAGGCGACGAUGCGUAGCCGACCUGAGAGGGUGAUCGGCCACACUGGGACUGAGACACGGCCCAGACUCCUACGGGAGGCAGCAGUAGGGAAUCUUCCGCAAUGGGCGAAAGCCUGACGGAGCAAUGCCGCGUGAGUGAUGAAGGUUUUCGGAUCGUAAAGCUCUGUUGCCAGGGAAGAACGCUUGGGAGAGUAACUGCUCUCAAGGUGACGGUACCUGAGAAGAAAGCCCCGGCUAACUACGU
rnacentral:rRNA from 1 species